rnacentral:lncRNA from 1 species
CUCAUCGGCGCCCGCUGUGCAUUGGGAGGCUCACGUCCCCACCCUCGGGCUUUCCAAGGUGCCGCGCCAGGGGUUGCUGAGGUAGAGGUGGCUCCCCUGCUCCUCCUUCCACCUCUCCGAUUCCACCUCCUCCUCGCACCCCGCUGGGAACUCCUCCAGGGGCUGAGAUUGGAUUCACCGAGCCUGCGGAGAGUGGGGAACUGCGGGCAGGUCGGCGGAGUUAGAUGGCAGCAAAGGUGGGCCGGCUUGGUGUGAUAAAGUUCCAACUGGGUCCUUCCGCGAGCCCUGGGUCCAUAAGAUGUCAUCGGCGAGCGCUGGACUUGACCGUCAACUUGGGAUUGUUAAGGUAAAUGGUGUCUCCUUCUGUCGCCAAGGCGGUGGCAUGGUCUCGGCUGGCUGCAAUCUCCACCUCCUUGCUUCCAGCGAUUCUCCUGCCUCAGCCCCCCGAGUAGCAGAAAUUACAGGAUUUGUCGCUGAUGCCUUACUUCAUUCACUUUGUGAGGUCAUGUUUUCCUGGAUGGUGACAAUGCUAGCAGAUGUUCUUCAGUGUCUGGACAUUAAAACUUUGGCAUGCAGCACCACAUAAGAUGUGAAAAAAAGAUUUUUUUUAAAAAAAAGAUGAGCAUUAAUUGUAGACUUCACUGUGUGGGGUUAUUCGUAGCUAUCUUUCUUGGGAAGGAUUUCCACAUAUUUGAAAAGGCAGGUGUUGUGAUCUAAGCCAUAUCUGCUUUAGGGGGCACCGUAUACCCAAUAGUGCUGUAAUUUUUGCAGUCUCAUUGAUGUACCACCUUGACAGUCUUGGACAAUAUCCAGGAAAAUUUUCUGGAUUAGUAGCCAGAGACUCUUGUUCUCUAACCUUAUUUUCCCUCAAAGAUACAGAGUCU